GGUCAGGAAAUGGACAAUGCAGGAAAAGAAUAUAUCAUAAACCCAAUUCCUUUUUUUUACCAUCCGAAGAAAGUUGAUGGUCAGGAAAUGGACAAUGCAGGAAAAGAAAAUGUUAUAAACCCAAUUCCUUUUUUCUACCAUACGAAGAAAGUUGAUGGUCAGGAAAUGGAUAAUACA